GACGAACGCUGGCGGCGUGCUUAACACAUGCAAGUCGAACGGAAAGGCCCUGCUUUUGUGGGGUGCUCGAGUGGCGAACGGGUGAGUAACACGUGAGUAACCUGCCCUUGACUUUGGGAUAACUUCAGGAAACUGGGGCUAAUACCGGAUAGGAGCUCCUGCUGCAUGGUGGGGGUUGGAAAGUUUCGGCGGUUGGGGAUGGACUCGCGGCUUAUCAGCUUGUUGGUGGGGUAGUGGCUUACCAAGGCUUUGACGGGUAGCCGGCCUGAGAGGGUGACCGGCCACAAUGGGACUGAGAUACGGCCCAGACUCCUACGGGAGGCAGCAGUGGAGAAUAUUGCACAAUGGGCGGGAGCCUGAUGCAGCAACGCCGCGUGCGGGAUGACGGCCUUCGGGUUGUAAACCGCUUUCGCCUGUGACGAAGCGUGAGUGACGGUAAUGGGUAAAGAAGCACCGGCUAACUACGUG
rnacentral:rRNA from 1 species